UAGACUGGGCCUCGCUGGUCUUUCUCUUACAUUACAUUCAUAACAUAACAUUCCAAUAUGCCAGGGGCGUAGAAUGGGCCUCGCUGGUCUUUCUCUUACUAUGGUGCCAGGGGCGUAGAAUGGGCCUCACUGGUCUUCCGUACCGUAUCAUAUCAUAAUUUAGUGCGGCUAAAGGAUCAUCCAACAUUCAUCCACAUCAUCAACAUAUUAUGCAAUGCAACAUAUUCGUGAAUUCUAAUGCAAACAACCUAGAAUAUCACAUGGCAUUCAUGAUGCAUGUAUCAUG
rnacentral:lncRNA from 1 species